rnacentral:rRNA from 1 species
CUCCGCUCUUCCCAGAGCAGAGUGCAUUUGUUCGCCACAAAACCAAGCGCCCCCAGGGCGUUCUGUGUUGACUCAGAACAACUAAGCUGAUCGCACGGUCUUGCACCGGCGACGUGUCUUUCAAGUGUCUGCCUUAUCAACUUUCGAUGAUGGUGUAUCUGACCACCAUGGUGAUGACGGGUAACGGAGGAUCAGGGUUCGACUCCGGAGAGGGCGCCUGAGAAAUGGCGACCACGUCUAAGGAUGGCAGCAGGCGCGCAAAUUACCCACUCUCGACUAGAGGAGGUAGUGACGAGAAAUAACGAGACUGUUCUCGAUUGAGGCCAGUUAUCGGAAUGGGUACAAUUCAAAACCUUUAACGAGUAUCUAUGAGAGGGCAAGUCUGGUGCCAGCAGCCGCGGUAAUUCCAGCUCUCAAAAUGCAUAGAAUUAUUGCUGCGGUUAAAAAGCUCGUAGUUGGAUCUGUGCUAGGUGUCCGGUCUGCCCUCUGGGUAUGCACUGGUGCACCCGGCUUUCCCGCCGGUCUCUCCCUGAUGUUGGCUUUAACCGGCUGGCAUUAGUGGGCUGGCAACUUUACUUUGAACAAAUCAGAGUGCUUCAAACAGGCGUCUCGCCUGAAUGUUCGUGCAUGGAAUAAUAGAAGAGGAUCACGGUCCGAUUUUAUUGGUUUUGCUGACCGAGAUAAUGGUUAACAGAGACAAACGGGGCCAUUCGUAUUGCUACGUGAGAGGUGAAAUUCUUGGACCGUAGCAAGACGGACUACAGCGAAAGCAUUUGGCAAGAAUGUCUUCAUUAAUCAAGAACGAAAGUCAGAGGUUCGAAGGCGAUCAGAUACCGCCCUAGUUCUGACCGUAAACGAUGCCAACUAGCGAUCCGCCAGUCGACUCAUCGCUCUGGUGGGGAGCUUCCCGGAAACGAAAGUCUUCCGGUUCCGGGGGAAGUAUGGUUGCAAAGCUGAAACUUAAAGGAAUUGACGGAAGGGCACCACCAGGAGUGGAGCCUGCGGCUUAAUUUGACUCAACACGGGGAAACUCACCCGGCCCGGACACCGUAAGGAUUGACAGAUUGAUAGCUUUUUCAUGAUUCGGUGGAUGGUGGUGCAUGGCCGUUCUUAGUUCGUGGAGCGAUUUGUCUGGUUUAUUCCGAUAACGAGCGAGACUCUGGCCUACUAAAUAGUUGACGCAUUGCCACUGUGCGCACAACUUCUUAGAGGGAUUUUCGGUGUUUUCAACCGCACGAAAUUGAGCAAUAACAGGUCUGUGAUGCCCUUAGAUGUCCGGGGCUGCACGCGCGCUACACUGGCAAACGCAACGUGCCUGUCCUGCCCCGAAAGGAGCGGGUAAACCCCUGAAAUUUUGCCGUGAUUGGGAUCGGACAUUGCAACUAUUGUCCGUGAACGAGGAAUUCCUUGUAGGGGCGAGUCAUCAACUCGUCCCGAAUACGUCCCUGCCCUUUGUACACACCGCCCGUCGCUGCCCGGGACUGAGCCAUUUCAAGAAAACCGGGGAUUGAUGGCCUAACGACUCUUCGGGGUCCGCUGGCCGUUAAAAACCGGCUUAAUUGCAAUGGUUUGAACCGGGCAAAAGUCGUAACAAGGUAGCUGUAGGUGAACCUGCUGCUG